rnacentral:ncRNA from 1 species
CUGGUUGAUCCUGCCAGUAGUUAUAUGCUUGUCUCAAAGAUUAAGCCAUGCAUGUCUAAGUACACACGAAUUAAAAGUGAAACCGCAAAAGGCUCAUUAUAUCAGUUAUGGUUCCUUAGAUCGUUAACAGUUAAUUGGAUAACUGUGGUAAUUCUAGAGCUAAUACAUGCAAUUAAAACAUGAACCUUUAUGGGACAUGUGCUUUUAUUAGGCUAAAACCAAGCGAUCGCAAGAUCGUUAUAUUGGUUGAACUCUAGAUAACAUGCAGAUCGUAUGGUCAUGUACCGACGACAGAUCUUUCAAAUGUCUGCCCUAUCAACUUUUGAUGGUAGUAUCUAGGACUACCAUGGUUGCAACGGGUAACGGGGAAUCAGGGUUCGAUUCCGGAGAGGGAGCCUGAGAAACGGCUACCACAUCUAAGGAAGGCAGCAGGCGCGUAAAAUACUGUAAGGGUUUGUAAAACGCCUUACAAGUUUGAGUG